rnacentral:rRNA from 1 species
UACAGAGGUGGCAAGCGUUGUUCGGAAUUACUGGGCGUAAAGGGCGCGUAGGCGGCCUUCUAAGUCAGACGUGAAAUCCCCCGGCUUAACCUGGGAACUGCGUCUGAUACUGGAGGGCUUGAGUGCGGGAGAGGGAUGUGGAAUUCCAGGUGUAGCGGUGAAAUGCGUAGAUAUCAGGAGGAACACCGGUGGCGAAGGCGGGUCUCUGGGCCGAUACUGACGCUGAGGAGCGAAAGCGUGGGGAGCAAACAGG